GAUGAACGCUGGCGGCGUGCCUAAUACAUGCCAGUCGAGCGAACAGAUGAGGAGCUUGCUCCUCUGACGUUAGCGGCGGACGGGUGAGUAACACGUGGAUAACCUACCUAUAAGACUGGGAUAACUUCGGGAAACCGGAGCUAAUACCGGAUAACAUAUUGAACCGCAUGGUUCAAUAGUGAAAGACGGUUUUGCUGUCACUUAUAGAUGGAUCCGCGCCGCAUUAGCUAGUUGGUAAGGUAACGGCUUACCAAGGCAACGAUGCGUAGCCGACCUGAGAGGGUGAUCGGCCACACUGGAACUGAGACACGGUCCAGACUCCUACGGGAGGCAGCAGUAGGGAAUCUUCCGCAAUGGGCGAAAGCCUGACGGAGCAACGCCGCGUGAGUGAUGAAGGUCUUCGGAUCGUAAAACUCUGUUAUUGGGGAAGAACAAAUGUGUAAGUAACUAUGCACGUCUUGACGGUACCUAAUCAGAAAGCCACGGCUAACUACGUG
rnacentral:rRNA from 1 species